rnacentral:rRNA from 1 species
UGAAUACGAGAUGCUACGGCGUCGAAGCAGUCUAUGUCAUACUUCCAAGAAAAGCUCGCACUGUCAUAAACAAAUAAUGCCUGUACCAUAACCGACACAGGUGGGUAGGUAGAGUAUACUAAGGGGCGCGAGAUAACUCUCUCUAAGGAACUCGGCAAAAUGACUCCGUAACUUCGGGAGAAGGAGUGCCUUAUUUAUAAGGUUGCAAUAACAAGAUCCAAGCAACUGUUUAUCAAAAACACAGGUCUCCGCUAAGUCGUAAGACGAUGUAUGGGGGCUGACGCCUGCCCAGUGCCAGAAGGUUAAAGAAGUUGGUUAGCAUUCGCGAAGCUGAUAACUGAAGCCCUGGUGAACGGCGGCCGUAACUAUAACGGUCCUAAGGUAGCGAAAUUCCUUGUCGGGUAAGUUCCGACCCGCACGAAAGGCGUAAUGAUUUGGAUACUGUCUCGGAGAGGGGCUCGGUGAAAUAGACUUGUCUGUGAAGAUGCGGACUACCUGCACCAGGACAGAAAGACCCUAUGAAGCUUUACUGUAACUUGAGAUUGAAAUUGGACUUUACUUGCGCAGUAUAGGUGGGAGGCGUUGAUAAUAUUCUUGCGGGGUUAUUUGAGCCAUCAGUGAGAUACCACUCUUGUAAUGUUAGAUUUCUAACUUUGUAUCAUUAUCUGGUCAAAGGACAGUUUCAGGCGGGCAGUUUGACUGGGGCGGUCGCCUCCUAAACGGUAACGGAGGCGCACAAAGGUUUCCUCUGAACGGGUAGAGAUCGUAUCUAGAGUGUAAAGGCAUAAGGAAGCUUGACUGUGAGGCCUACAAGUCGAGCAGGGACGAAAGUCGGUCUUAGUGAUCUGACGGUGCUGAGUGGAAAGGCCGUCACUCAACGGAUAAAAGUUACUCUAAGGAUAACAGGCUGAUCUCCCCCAAGAGUUCACAUCGACGGGGAGGUUUGGCACCUCGAUGUCGGCUCAUCGCAUCCUGGGGCGGUAGUACGUCCCAAGGGUUGGGCUGUUCGCCCAUGAAAGCGGUACGCGAGCUGGGUUCAGAACGUCGUGAGACAGUUCGGUCCAUAUCCGGUGUAGGCGUUAGAAUAUUGAGAGGAGCCUUCUUUAGUACGAGAGGACCGAGAAGGACAUACCUCUGGUGUACCAGUUAUCGUGCCAACGGUAAACGCUGGGUAGCUAUGUAUGGAGUGGAUAACCGCUGAAAGCAUCUAAGUGGGAAGCCCACCUCAAGAUAAGUAUUCUCAUC